rnacentral:rRNA from 1 species
AGUGGGGAAUUUUGGACAAUGGGGGCAACCCUGAUCCAGCCAUGCCGCGUGAGUGAAGAAGGCCUUCGGGUUGUAAAGCUCUUUCGGCCGGGAAGAAAUCGUAUGGGCUAAUACCCUGUGCGGAUGACGGUACCGGCAUAAGAAGCACCGGCUAACUACGUGCCAGCAGCCGCGGUAAUACGUAGGGUGCGAGCGUUAAUCGGAAUUACUGGGCGUAAAGCGUGCGCAGGCGGUUUUGUAAGACAGGCGUGAAAUCCCCGGGCUCAACCUGGGAACUGCGCUUGUGACUGCAAGGCUAGAGUACGGCAGAGGGGGGUGGAAUUCCACGUGUAGCAGUGAAAUGCGUAGAGAUGUGGAGGAACACCAAUGGCGAAGGCAGCCCCCUGGGUCGAUACUGACGCUCAUGCACGAAAGCGUGGGUAGCAAACAGGAUUAGAUACCCUGGUAGUCCACGCCCUAAACGAUGUCAACUAGGUGUUGGGUGGGUAAAACCAUUUAGUACCGUAGCUAACGCGUGAAGUUGACCGCCUGGGGAGUACGGCCG